CCUGGCUUAGAACGAACGCUGGCAGCGUGGAUUAGGCAUGCAAGUCGAACGGGAUCGCCGAGUUAGCAAUAAUGAGGCGUGAGAGUGGCGGAUUGGCGAGUAACACGUGAGCAACCUGCCCUGAGGUUUGGGGAAAAACCGCUAGGAAACGGCGGCUAAUACCGGAUGAGACGUCCGUGGACAUCCACGGAACGUGAAAGGGGGCCGCAAGGCUCCCGCCGCGGGAUGGGCUCGCGCAUCAUCAGCUUGUUGGCGGGGUAACGGCCCACCAAGGCGUACGAUUAGCUGGUCUGAGAGGAUGACCAGCCGCACUGGGACUGAGAUACUGCCCAGACUCCUACGGGAGGCUGCAGUCGAGGAUCAUUCGCAAGUGGGGGAAACCCUGACGAUGCGACGCUGCGUGGAAGGAUGAAGGCCUUCGGGUUGUAAACUCCUGUCAUGAAGGGAAAAGGCGAGGGACCCAACACGUCUCUUAGUUGAUGGUACCUCAAGAGGAAGGGACGGCUAACUCUGUGCCAGCAGCCGC
rnacentral:rRNA from 1 species